AGUGAACGCUGGCGGUAGGCCUAAUACAUGCAAGUCGAACGAGUGGCGGACGGGUGAGUACUGACUGGGAAACUGCCCGAUGGAGGGGGAUAACUACUGGAAACGGGCGCUAAUAACGCAUACUAUCAGCUGAGCCUAGGUCGUAUUAGCUGGUUGGUGGGGGAAAGGCCUACCAAGGCGACGAUCCGUAACUGGUCUGAGAGGAUGAUCAACCACACUGGAACGGAGACACGGUCCAGACUCCUACGGGAGGCAGCAGUGGGGAAUAUUGCACAAUGGGCGCAAGCCUGAUGCAGCCAUGCCGCGUGUAUGAAGAAGGCCUUCGGGUCGUAAAGUACUUUCAGCGGGGAGGCGGUAACCACAGAGGAAGCACCGGCUAACGCCGUGCCAGCAGCCGCGGUAAUAC
rnacentral:rRNA from 1 species